rnacentral:lncRNA from 1 species
UCAUCAAACAAGCUGGAAGGAAGAAUUCCAACAGAGUUAAGAAAUCUUGGAUUCUUAGAGGUGUUAAACCUUUCUCAAAAUAAUCUCAAGGGACCCAUUCCUCAAGGCAAACAAUUUGAUACUUUCGCUAAUGAUUCCUACAUGGGAAAUUUGGAUUUAUGUGGUUUGCCAUUAUCAAAAAGCUGUGAUACUGAGGAGGAAACUCCAGCCAUAUUUGAUAGUGAUGGUGAUGGUGAUGGUGAGGAAUUGAAUUGGAAAUUUUCAAUAGUGAUGGGGUAUGGAUGUGGGUUGGUGUUGGGAAUAAGCAUGGCAUACAUUGUAUUCACAAUAGGAAAACCAUGGUGGUUGAUUAGGAUCAUCGAGCGAGAGAAGCUAACACUUCGGCGAGUUCAACAACUUGCAAACAGAACAAAAAACAUCAUUGCUUGGUGGUAUGCAGGCCUUUUUCUGUAGCUGUUUAAUAAACUUUUUGUUUGGGUGCUUUAUUGUAUGUUAUGUAGUUCGUAUUAUGUUUUCUUAGGGCCUCUCUCAUGGCAAUGUUCCCUGAUGUGUUUAUGAUAGGUGCAUUGGUUUGUAAAGACUGUCUUUAUGGGAACCUUAUCUUUUUAAUAAAAUUGAAAUAAGGAAUAGAUGGUCCAAGAAUGGUUAAUUUAUUCCAAAGAGUUUGUGAAGAAUCAAGAGAGGUAAAAUAAUGCAAAAUUAUAUGUUGAAUACUUUAGAAUUGAAUAUGGAUUAUGGUUUUAAUUGCACUGUCAUAACCAUUUUUUUCAAAAAAACGGGGAUUGACUUAGAUUUGAAAAUGAAAGAACGAAAGUCGUCACCAAUCCUUUUUGAUGAGUGUGAUCGGGUCACCUUAAAUUAAUCAUUUUAUUAAAAGUUAAGAUUUACUAAAACGAUAAAUUUUUUUUUUGGUCUACGAAAAAUCAAAAAAUGAGUUCGGGAGUCGGUUAUGCACGAGGAAGGGUUAACACCCUCGAUACGCCCAAAAUUGGUACCUAAUUGAUUAAUUAGUGUCUUAGUGUCGAAGAUUGAAAACUUGAAAGACUUUUGAAAUACGAUCCUUCUUUAUAAAAAAACUCAAGUGUUAAGAACCUUCUCGUCUCAAAAUAUGAAAUGUCACAUCCAGUAAGUUAGGACACGACAUCUUGAAUUUUCGAGAGCGAGCUUACUUUUUAUAUAAAAUUCAUGUAUUUUAACCCCUUUUUAAAAAGAAUGUUCAAUUAUUUAGGGUAAACGAGAAAAGUCAAAAUCCAAUAAGUUAGGGCACGUUUUUUCAAAUUUCUUAAUACCGAAUAUUACCUUUAUUUGCAAAAGUUCUUAUCUCGAGAUAACAAGAUGUCAUAUUCAGCAAGUUAAGACACAACACCUCGUUUCUUCGAGAGUAAGCGUUGAUUUCAAAACUUGUAUUGCAAUUUUAAGAUGACAUUCCGUUAUUUGGGUUAGAUGAGAAAAAUCGAAGCCCAGUAAGUUAAGGCACGAUGUUCUCGGGUUCCCAAACACAGAAUAUUAUUUUUAUAAAAGAAUUUAUUUUGGAUCAAAAAACGGUUAAAAUAACAUGAAUUUGCAAUAAGAUGCAAAAAUAUUAUACACGAGCAUAAUAAAUGCAUUAAUAUAAAAUAAAAUAAAAGACGAGGAUAACAAAAAUUAGCAAGCACACGAAAUAAUCACAGAUCAAAGAUAACAAAAAGUAAAGUAAAAACGUAAGUAAAUGAUAUAUACAUAAAUAAAUAAAUAACACAAACAAUGAUAAAAAAAACUAAAAUAUAAUUUCAGCAUACAAUAAAGAAAAUAAUGAAAAUAAUGUGCUAAUAGUAUAAUAAAAUAUAUAUAUAUAUAUUUGUAAUAAUAGUAGAAAGUAAUCACAUGUAUACAUAAAAAUAUUAAUAACGAUAAAAAGAAAAUAACAAAUAUGAUAUGAUAAUAAUAAUGAUAAUAUAUAUAAUGACAAGAAAACGUGAUAAAAAAUGAAACUUAAAUAAAAUAAUACAUACAAAGACAGUAGUAAUAAUAAUAAUAACAGAAAAUACCAAUGAUAUAAUAAUAAUAGAAACUAAUGUGUACUUAAAGAGAAAUAUAUAUUUGUAUAUAUAUAUUAAUAAUGAUGAGAAGAAAAUAACAAUGACGUACUAAUAAAACUAUCAAAAGAGUAACACCAAAAUAGCAAAAUAUAACAGUUAAUAUAAUAUUAAAAUAAUAAUAUGGAAAUAAUACCAUGUAUAAUAAUAUUAAUAAUAAUAAAGUAAAAAGGAGUAAAUAGGAUAUACUAAUAAUAUUAAAAAUAAGAUAGUAGAUAAAGAAAAUGAAUAUAAUAAUACAAUAAUAAAAAUGAUAAUAAUGAUAAUAUAAGUAAUAAAGAACCCAAAAUAAUAGAGAAGGGACUAAUUUAAACGUGAAACAGAAAAUCUGGGCCAAAUUUGAAAAUAAAGAAAGGGAAAAGGAUCAAUCUGAACGCGCGUAAAUAAGCGGAGGGGCUAAAUGGGAGAAUAUCCCAAGUUUUUACACGAUGCGUUUCAGUGGCCAAGCCAUGGACCAAAUCAAAAUAGAAAUAAAAGUAAUGGGGCGAAUUAAAAAGCAAAACGAGACACAUACAUAGGAGCAGAAAACGUAGGAGGACCGAAAGGAAAAUUUCCCCGUUUCUUAGAAACGCGUGGAUCCCCCAUGUACGGGUCGGGUUGUGCGGAUCAGGGGCCCUAUACAGCACCGUUUCAGUGCUGGUGCCUUUGGUGCAAAACGGCACCGUUUUGCACUGUUAUUUAAUCUAAAAUUUCACCUUUUUUAUCUUUUCUUUUCUUUUGCAAAAAACAAAAAGAGCAGCCCUCUUCUCCCCAUUUCUUUCUCUGCUAGGGUUUCAAAACCCUCCCACGCCGCCGUCAUCGUGGUUUCUUGAAACCACCGGGGCCUCCACUGUCGACGAGGAUCAAGACUACAAGGAUCCAGGUGAGUUUUUUUCUUUUAUACUUUUAUUUGAAAACGGUUUAAAAUGAAAACAAUGAGAUAAUAAAAAAAAUGAACUAAAUGAAUAAGAGAAAUGAGAUUAAAAUCAACCUUUUUAACUUUUGUUGUUUUGCUUUUUGAUUUUCAAUAUUUGAAUCUAAUAAUAUUUUUUCCUUCUUUGAGAACAGAACCACAAUCAAAAGAAGAAAUGAGAGAAAAAACAAUCAAAAAUCAUCCCCGUUUACAUUGCUUUUUUGUUCGGUUUUCCCCCCUUUACAAACUGAUUUUUGUUUCAGUUUUAUAACCGAUUCCAAAAGAAAUCGCUCCCCUUUCUCUGUUGUUUCUGCUUCUUUUCUCUUCUUUUUUCUUUCUUUUGCAGAUCUCUGUAGGUGCAGGCGAUGGGAUGGGAGCAGGUGGUGGCAGCAGGCUAGGAGGAGGUGUGCCUAGCAUGCGGCGGCCUAGGGUUUCCCUUGGCCAAAAGUUUUGGUUUUUUUUUUUGGGGCUGGGGUUAGAAUUGGUAUUGGCCCAUUUGUUAUUGGGCUGAUUUGGUUUGUAAAAUGGACUGUUAAUUUUUAUUUGUUUAUGGGUCCGGGCAAACUUUGGGCUUUACAGCACAAUACAUGCAUUCUUUGUUUUUAACCUGAAUCAGAUUUGUGAGAUAUAUAUUUUGUGAGGUUGAUUUAUUACAGGAGAUUUGGAAUUGAAUUUAUAAAAAGAAAUGACUUGGUUUGGAUUAAUGUAAUCCUUUUUGUGAAAUUAUAGAUAUUUAUUUUUAUAUUUUUUAUUGGAUAUUUUUAUAAAAAGGAAAACGAAAAAGCUUCUUGUAAGCCAUUUUCAAAUCAUCAUCUUUUGCCUUCUUGUUAACUUGAAAAAUCGUGUAAUAAUUUGCACCCAUCGUAAAAUUUAUCUUCAUCUAAUUUGUUUGCAAUUUAUUUUGAAAAUUGUGUAAAUUUUCUAGGUUUUUGAUUUUUCCAACUUGAAAUAUUUACAUAUAUUUUUAUAAUUUAUAAUUUCUUUUAUAUUUAAAAAAAUAUAAUUUUCAUAUAGUUUCUUUUAAAAAAUUUUAUUAUAUUUUUAUAAAAAAUAGAUUAUGGCAUUCUAAGAGUGUCAUGUGUUCUAUAUUUAAUAUCGUGAAAAAAAAAAUAAAAAUAAAAGGUGUCAAAGCCCUUGAUGGAAUGAAAAUUUAGGACCAACUUGGGACAAAAAAAUCAUAAGUACCAACAUGGGAGAAGGUGUCAAAUUCAAGGGGCUAAAUGCAUAUUUGAACCUUAUAAUUAUAAUUAAAUAUAAGCACAUAUAAUAUUAUUUAUAUAAAUAUAUAUAAAUAAUUAUAUUUUGUAAGUUUUCAUAAUAUUUACUUUAUAUUUAAAUUAUAUGUGUUUGAGGAUCAAAUUGAUAGAAUGUGUAAGUAUUGAAGACUAAAUGUAUUAUUUAUACCAGUUAAAAAAAGUCACUUCAUAACAUUCGUUAACCAUUUAAUAAAGAGUGAGUAAAACAAAAACGAUCUAAAACAUGAGUGACCAAAAUAGAAACGAUCUAAAACGAUAGUGAUUAAAUUGAAAAUUUUCAUAGUUAGGUGACCAAAACAGAAACACACUAAUAGUGGGGUGACUAAUUCUAUAAUUUACCCUACUAUCUUUUAUUAUUAGGGUAAACUACACCACAAGUCACCCAACUAUCACCUCUUUUUCUUUUUUGGUCACCCAACUAUCAAUUUUUUUAAUUUGAUCACCCAACUAAUUGAGAUUUUUUUUGUCCAUUUCUUUAAAUCUCUAUGGGAGGGUAAUGUGGUAGUUAAAAAAUUAGUAUAAUUGUAAAUCUAGCCCUUAACUUUUACAUCAUAUAUUAAUUUAGUUAAAUUUUUAAAAUAAUUAACCUUCAAAUUUUACAUAUACUCUCAAUUUGAUUCUCAAUUUCACCUUCCUCUUAUAUUUCCCCACGUGCCAUUACCAUCAUUACCUCCACCUUUCUCCCCAUAAAAACCUUACCUUUCCUCUUUCUAUUUCAACCUAAUUUAUUGUUAAAUAGUAGCACAUAUAUUUAAAUUGCUUAGGCUUCAUCUAACAAAUGUUGGAUUAAACACAAAAUAAAUUAUAAUACCUUAAAUUUGAACUUGAUUGAAAAAAAAAAUUUUGGAGAAAGGUGGAGGAGAAGGCGGAGUUGGAGCCAAUGAUGAUAGUAGCAGGGGAGGAAGUGAAAAAAAAAUAUAAAUGUUGAUGAUUAAAUUGAGAUUAUUUGUAAAUUUUAAAGAUUAUUUUUUUAAAAUAAUAACUAAAUUAAUAUAAUAUAUAAAAAUUGAGAGUUAAAUUUAUUAUUAUAUGAAUUUUUAAUUAUAAUAUCCUCUCAUUAGAGAUUUAACCUAGUUAACGGGAAUUGGCAAAAAAAAGAAAAUUCUCGAUUAAUUGGACUACUAAAUUAAAAAUUUUGAACUAAAUUAAUAGAAUUAAUAGUUAAAUGAACAAAAAAAAAUUGGUAGUUGAGAAGAUAGUUGGGAUUCUGGUUUCCUCUCUUCAGAAAAGGAGGAAAAAAAAUAAAAUUGUAAAACAAUAUAGAGACAAGUUGACGACUCGCUCCCGCUGCACCGAGUCACCACUCACCACCACCAGCCGUUCAUUGGCUCCUUCCUUCUCUUUAAAAGGUUCAUUUUCCAUCAUCACCGAAUUCGGAUUCUCGAAUCACCCGCGACCGGAUUCGAAUGUACAACUCCAAAAUUUUCCUUCUAAUCCUGCUCUUCCUAAUCAAUUCCAUCGCCUCUUCCAAUGCGGAUUCGGGUCAGAAAUGCUCCAACACCAGCUCCCUAGUCGGGUUCGAAUCGAACUUCACAAUGGUCCGACACCAACUCCGUGGCCAUCUCAAAAUCCUCGAUGGCUGCUCUUUCCAGGUCACCGGAUUCGACAUGUUAUCCGGCUCAUCCGAAGUCGUUUUCUGGGGCGCCGUCUCCCUCAACUUCUCUGACCUCACCAGCGGGUUCCCCAUCUCCGGUCAACGCCUCAAUCAAACAGCUUACAAAAACGCAUCGUUUUCAGUCCAAUUGCUCCCCCACAUAACCUGGGACCAGAUUAACGUUCUUUCAAUCUGGGACAUCGCCAGCACCUCGGACUUCGGCCAUGUCAGCCUCCCUCAAAACGGGUCAGAUUCGGUUUCGAACUCGGUGCAUACAGUGUUUGAUAAUUGUAAGAACUUGUCAGAUAAUUAUAGGGCCCGGUGGAACUUGAAUGUGGAUGAAAAUUGGAUCGAGAUCGGGUUAGAAGCGGCGGCGCCGACGACCUAUUACAUGGCAUUUGGGUGGGCGAAUCCGAAUAGGACGAAGGAACUGAUGUCCGAAGCUGAUGUUACGGUGGCAAGUUUUACUGAGGAAGGUAGGCCUUUUGUUGAUGAUUUUUACAUUACGGCUUAUAGUGAAUGUAAGUUGAGUUCUAAAGAUCGUACAGCUAUUGGUGUUUGCCCUGAUGUAGUUUAUGAGAACUCGAAAAAUGGCAUGAUGGUGAAUAAUACUAGGUUGGUUUAUGGACAUAGGAGAGAUGGGGUUUCUUUAAUUAUGUUUAGGAAACCACUGAAUUCGACUGAUAAGAAGUAUGAUUUGCCUGUGUAUCCUAAUGAGGAUAUGAGGGUUAUUUGGGCAUUAGGGUUGAUGAAACCACCAAAUGAAAAUCGGUCUCAUUUUUUGCCCCAAUUUCAUGGGGGUCCAGAGAAGGUUGCAUAUGGACAUUUGGUGCUUAAUGUUUCAGAGAAGGUAGAUGAUUGUUUUGGCCCAUUGGAUGCUGAUGAUAAUGAGGAUCAAGAGUUGAUUAUUGCUGAUACAGGCGUCCCCCUUGUUGUUACAACAGGGGAGGUGUUGCAUUAUCCAAAUCCGCCAAGUCCGUCUAAGGUUUUUAUAUUAAUAAUAAGGAAGCACCAGUGUUGAGAGUGGAAAGAGGGGUGCCAGUUAAGUUUUUGGUGCAGGCAGGGCAUGAUGUUGCAUUCUAUAUUACUUCAGAUUCUCUAGGUGGGAAUGCUACAUUAAGGAAUGCAACUGAAACUAUUUAUUCUGGAGGGCCAGAAGCGGAAGGAGUUGUAGCAAAUCCUCACGAAUUGAUUUGGGUUCCCGAUAGGAAUACCCCCGAUCAAGUGUAUUAUCAGUCCUUGUACCAGGAGAAGAUGGGAUGGAAAGUUCAAGUUGUUGAUGGUGCCCUGUCUGAUAUGUAUAACAAUAGUGUGCUUUUAGAUGAUCAAUAAGUCACUUUCUUUUGGACGUUAUCGGAAGAUUCAAUAACUAUUGCUGCCCAUGGUGUGAAGAAGAGUGGCUAUCUUGCAAUAGGUUUCGGUAGUGGGAUGGUGAAUAGCUAUGCAUAUGUGGGCUGGAUUGGCGAUACUGGAAAAGGGCAUUUAAAUACAUAUUGGAUUGAUGGAAAGCGUCCCUCAAACAUCCAUCCAACAAACGAGAAUCUGACACAUGUCAGGUGCAGGUCAGAGAUGGCAUCAUUACUUUGGAAUUCACACGUCUGUUAAAACCAUCAUGCAAUCAAAAUGAUAAGCCAGAGUGCAAGAACAUUGUUGAUCCUACAACUCCUCUUAAAGUCAUAUGGGCAAUGGGUUCAAAGUGGACUGAUGAACAUCUGAGUGAGAAAAACAUGCAUACGGUCACAAGUCAAAGGCCUGUGCAAGUGCUGCUUAUCCGUGGUUCUUCCGAGGCUGAGCAAGGUUUACAACCUGUCUUAGCUGUACAUGGGUUUAUGAUGUUCCUCGCCUGGGGUAUUUUGAUUCCUGGUGGAAUAUUGGCUGCUAGAUAUCUAAAACAUGUAAACGGUGAUGGAUGGUACCAAAUUCAUAUUUACCUACAAUAUUCGGGAUUAGCAAUUAUCCUACUUGGUGUUCUUUUUGCAGUUGCCGAACUUCGGGGUGUCUAUGUCAGCUUGUUACAUGUUAAGCUUGGUAUUGCUGCCAUAGUUUUUGCCUCUGUGCAACCAAUGAAUGCAUAUCUCAGACCGGAGAAACCUGCUAAUGGGGAGGACUCUUCCACAAAGAGAUCAAUUUGGGAGUAUUUCCAUGUAAUUAUCGGCAGAGGUGCCAUUGCCGUAGGAAUUGCAGCACUUUUCACUGGAAUGAAGCAUUUAGGAGAAAGAUAUAAAGUAGAAAACGUCCACGAUCUUAGCUGGGUAUUAAUAACAUGGUUCUUAAUUGCUGCAUCGACUGUAAUUUAUCUGGAGUAUCAUGAAAGACAACAGAGAGAUAGAUUACAAGGAAGGAGCAACUGGGUUCUCGGCAACGCUGAAGAAGAGGACUCCAUUGACGUUUUAAGCCAGAACGAUGCUUCUACUCGAAAAGGUUCACAGAGUUCUGGAGUAAUUGAAGUACAGUUAGAGCCAUUGAACAGAUAGAUUUAUUGAUACGGUAUAUUUUUUUCUUUUUGAAUAUAAAAAAGCUACAUUCUUCACCAGUUUUGAAAGCUUCUUACUAACAUGGAGCAGCUUUUUUCUCGGACGGCUUUCCCCUCUGUAAGUAGAGCUAUACUCUUGAUAAUUCUUUUUUCUACCAACAUGUAUUUUGUAUACUUGAUACACCUUUACUCUUGAUAAUUCUUUUUGAUACUCUUGAUCAAUUUAUCGUACCUUAUUUCUCUUGAUUGAAAUAGACCUUAAUUUUUCUGUUAUCUUGAACUCUUAAUACAUGGAAAUAUACAGUCAAUUUUUUCCCCUUUUUGUUUCACUUUCUUUGUGAUAAUAUUGCUUUUGGUGGGCAAAUAAGCUUAUGUUAAAGUAGACACUCACCUGGAAGACUAAGCUACGUGUAUCCAGUAACUUCUUUAAAGCAAGCUGAGUAGGCUUUGCAUGCUUGAGAAACAAGUGCUUCAACAAUUUAUCUGCAGUUGGCCUCUUGGUUUGAUCUUUCACCAACCACAUUGCAACCAUAUCUUUAAUCGGCUUCGAGCACUUCGAAUAUGUCAAACAUAAUUCAGUCAUGAGCCUUUGUUGGCAGAUAUAUCGACAAGGGCGGACGACCAUGAGCCAACUCCAACUAAAGAUCCCAAACAACCAUACAUCAGCCUUGAAGUUGUAUCUAGUUCCAGGCUCCAAAACUUUGGUUGCCAUCUAACAAGGACUCCCUGUACUUGUAUUCCGACACCAUUGUUGAUCGCUGGAAUCAAACAUGCAAGCUAAAACACCAGAAUCUGAGUGCUUCAUUUCCUCUUUUUUGUUGGGCAAAAGGUUGCUAGCUUUGCCAUUUCAAUGGAUAACCCCUUGUCAAUGAAGAAACUACAAAAGUUAGGGACUUUUUUUUUUUUAAAUCUAGUAAAAAGUAUUGUAUUAUUAUUUUUUUUAAUUUAAUGAUUCAAUACUUCUUACCAAUGUUUUUGGUUUUCUCAUAGUAAUGAAAUAAGCUUUCAAUUAAGCAAAAUUUAUUGGUAAUUUAUGGGCAUUAAGCAUAAAUCUCCUAACCCCUAAAGAUUUUUUUAAUUUGAAAAUUAUCACUCUGAAUUAUCAAACCUUCAAAUAAUAACACUUGAAAUCGCCUAGCUUUAUUGAACAUUUUAGCUUAAAUUGCUAUUUAUUUAAUAAAAUUUUAUUUAAAUUUAGUUACAAAAAUAGAUGAGUAUUAAUAAAUAAGUAAUUUUUUAAGUAAUAAAAAGAUGGAUGUAUAUUUAAGAUCUCUAAGCUCUUCAAUGGUAUCCUCUGCAGAAAAGACCCUCCUUUUAAUCUUGAACCUUUCCGCUGCAGAAUGUUUCUCUUCAAAGCUUUCAUUCUGUCUACACGUACCAAUGUUCUCCUCAAAAUCCACAAUCCUCUUUACAAAACCUUUUGUCCUUCACCAUCAAUCAUAAUCAGAAGAACCCUUAAUUACUCUUCCCAGAUACCAACCAAAAUCCCACUUUAUCCGUUGUUUCGAGACACUGUUUUAACAGUAAAACCCGCCGGAACUGAAACCCAGAGCAAAGGCGAAAUCAAUGAGUCGGUGAAAGAAUUUAGGAAUUUCAAAGAAAACCCAAAAGGGAGAAAGAAAGAAACAGAGAAAUUAGAUGGGAAAAAACCUUUUAAAAUUUUAAACUAGUAAAAGUAAAAUUGUACUUUGCCCCCUAAAUAUGAUAAAUAUUUAAUUUAAUCCUUUAAAAUUAUAAAGGUAUAUAGGGUAUUAAAAUGGUGAAAUUGUUUUUACUAUCGUAAAUUACAAUUUUUGUUUGGGUAAAAUUAUAAAUUUUUUAAAGUUAUACAUAAAAUUUAUGAAAUGAUAUAAAUAUUAUUGUGAAUUUUCAUUAAAAAUUAAGAACAAAUAUGACUAAUUUACCUAUAAAGGCCCAUUUCUAAGUAUAUUUAUGCAAUAAUCUUCUAUUCAAUUUUAAACAUUUGAAGUUAAUAUCCAUGCAAUUCUAAUUUUUAAAAUAAUUUCCAUUAUUUAAAUUUACAAGUUAUACUUUUAAUUUAUUUAUUUAUUUUAUUUUAUAUUAUGAAUGUUUGAUUAAUAAAUAAAUGGAGAAUAUUUGAUACUUAAAUAGUAUUUUUUUUGUAAUUUUAAAAAAUUGAUAUAUAUUUUUUAAAUAUUUAUUUGUUUUUAAUAUUAUACUAUACUCAUUAAUUUUUUUAAUCCUAAUUUUAAUUUAAUUUUCAUCACCUAAUGAAUGCUGAUAAAUUUAUUUCAGAUAUAUUUUGACUAGAAAUAUAUUUUUACUAUAUUUGUAAUAUAUUUUUUCAGGCCAACCUAUCAACUUUCAUGACAACUAAUGCAUUAUCAUUUUUCUAAAAUAAAAUAUCACAUCACUAUUUAAUGGAUAUUAGAUACUAAAAAAAUUAAUUUUAAAAGUUUAAUUGAUUGCUAAUUUCUUACAAGAUAAUGAGAUAUUUGUCUUUCAUAUUUUAAUAAACUUUUCAAUACGGUAUUUAAAGUUUUUAAAUGUAAACGGAUCUCUUAUAUUUUGUUUUUGUCUUUUGAAGAAGUACUUAAACCUAAAUAGUGUUAAAGUAUAAAGUGGGACUACUAAAAUACUACCAUGAGACACUUUUUUAAAAAUGAUCAAUCAAGUCAAAUCUGGGAUAUGGUAACAAUUUUACCAUUGUAUUUCUAAAGCUAUAGAAAUAUAUUUUUUUCCUUCUUUUCUAUCAUAUCAAUUAUCAAAUAAAUUGAUUGGUAUAAUAUUUAUAAUCCUUUAAAAUUAUAAAGAUAUAUAGGGUAUUAAAAUUUAUGUAAAAUUAUAAAGAUAUAUUAGGGUAUUACAUUACAAAUAUAGUUAUUUUACAAUUUUUGUUUCAAAGAAUCUUCAAACCCCUAAUUCUAACUCUAUUCCAUUUUUAUCUCCUAGGGAGAAUCCCAACACCACCACCUUCAUUGCAAUGGUAUGGAGUGUCAAACAAUAACUUAAUUGGAGAAAUCCCUUCCUCAAUAUGCAAUUUGACUUCUCUUAUGGGUUUCUUUCUAUCUGAGAAUAAUUUAGAAGGAACAAUUCCAGAGUGUUUUAGAAACUUGAGUUCUUCUCUCUUGCAAUUUGAUCUACGGUAUAAUAAUUUUCAUGGUCAAAUAUCAGAAAUUUUUGCUAAAGGUUGCAUGUUGAAAGGUUUCCGCAUCAACAACAAUGAAUUAGAAGGGUCACUACCACAAUCUUUGAGUAAUUGCAAAGAUUUAAUCCUUCUUGAUGUUGGAAACAACAAUUUGAAUGACACUUUCCCAAAUUGGUUAGGAAAUUUGGAUCAGUUACAAGUUCUUAUCUUAAGGUCAAAUAGAUUUUACGGCCAAGUGGAUAGCUUUGAUGUUAAAAUUUCCUUAACUCAUUUGCGUAUCGUUGAUCUUUCUCAUAAUAACUUCAGUGGUUAUUUACCUACCCUUGUUUUUGAACAUUUGCAUGCCAUUAGAGAAGGGUAUGAAAAGAAAGUUGAACCAAAGAACAUGCAAGAAGGAUUUGGUGAUGAACUUAUGGUGAAUUAUGCUUUUGGUUUAUCUUUUACAACAAAAGGGUUGGAAACAAAGUUUCAAGAACUAUUAUCCAUUUGGACGAUUAUUGACCUUUCUAGUAAUCAAUUCUCGGGAGAAAUUCCAAAAAUACUGGGUGAGCUUCAUUUACUUAUUGUCCUAAACCUCUCCCAUAACUGUUUAAUAGGUCCUAUCCCAUUAUCUUUAGGUGAUCUGUCAGAGCUUGAAUCAUUAGAUCUCUCGUCAAACAAGCUCGAAGGAAGAAUUCCAACACAGUUAAAAAAUCUUGGAUUCUUAGAGGUGUUAAACCUUUCUCAAAAUAAUCUCAAGGGUCCCAUUCCUGAAGGCAAACAAUUUGAUACUUUCACUAAUGAUUCCUACAUGGGAAAUUUGGAUUUAUGUGGUUUGCCAUUAUCAAAAAGCUGUGAUAUUGAUGAGGAAACUCCAGCCAAAUUUGAUAAUGAUGAUGGUGAUGAAUUGAAUUGGAAAUUUUCAAUAGUGAUCGGGUAUGGAUG